rfam:Mus musculus chromosome 3, GRC primary reference assembly.
AACCCCUGGCAAUAGGCAAAAAGAUACCUUGUUGUUGGUGUUGCUCUUAUAUGAGGCAGGGGCAGAGCACACGGCUGUCUUUUGUUCAUCCCAGCUUAAUACUUAGCUUAAUGGCCAAAGCUGUCUUAUGCCUAGGAUUCAUUA